rnacentral:rRNA from 1 species
AGAGUUUGAUCCUGGCUCAGGACGAACGCUGGCGGCGUGCUUAACACAUGCAAGUCGAACGGUGAAGCCCUUCGGGGUGGAUCAGUGGCGAACGGGUGAGUAACACGUGAGCAACCUGCCCCUGACUCUGGGAUAACUACCGGAAACGGUGGCUAAUACCGGAUAUGACCUUCCUGCGCAUGUGGGUUGGUGGAAAGUUUUUCGGUCGGGGAUGGGCUCGCGGCCUAUCAGCUUGUUGGUGGGGUGACGGCCUACCAAGGCGACGACGGGUAGCCGGCCUGAGAGGGCGACCGGCCACACUGGGACUGAGACACGGCCCAGACUCCUACGGGAGGCAGCAGUGGGGAAUAUUGCGCAAUGGGCGGAAGCCUGACGCAGCGACGCCGCGUGGGGGAUGAAGGCCUUCGGGUUGUAAACCUCUUUCAGCAGGGAAGAAGCGUGAGUGACGGUACCUGCAGAAGAAGCACCGGCUAACUACGUGCCAGCAGCCCCGGUC